CCUGGCUAGGAGCUGUCCCUGCCUUGGUGGUGUCUGAGGCCUGGGGCUCUUGCACGGCUGGCGCCAAGCAGCGUCCCUGGAUGAGAAGCAGAGGUGGGCAGGGCCAGGCACCAGCAGCCCAAGUGGGAAGCUGGUCACAGCCUUUGCAGGCCUACGCACAUCCAUCGCUGUUCUCCCGAGUUCCUCCCUGAUCUUUAUCCAGUUUUAGGAUUAGCACAAUGUUGAGUUCCUAAAAUGAGGAGAGCAGUGUCCCUUCUUUUUUCUGCUUUAAAUGUUUGAUAUAAUUUAUCAGUUAAAAUGUGUAUGAGCCUGCUGUUGUCAUAUAGGUUAAAAAAAAAAAGAGUUCCUCCCUGGAACACAUUUUGGGUGUGUUGGGUGUGUCUGGUGGUGCAACACUCCCUACACUGGGGCUACCUGAGCGGCUUCUGCCACAGCACCAGUGGCUAUGACAGUACCCACCACUCCAUCUGGGACUAGUCUUUAUUCCGAGGUAACUGAAUAACAUUUGUGAUAAAUUUAAAGAUCCCGUGUGGGUUGGGGCCUUGGAAUUACUGUCACAGCACUAGUUAAAGGCCUGGUUUCCAUAUCCCUUGCUAAGAGGAUGCACUAAGCAUUGGCAGGCCACCCCACAAAGAACUACCUGUCACCUUACAGAGGGUUUCCAAAUUGCCAGCCCUUGUUUGGAAGUCCUCUGCAAAUUAGAUUUGCUUCUGUAUUUUCAUUUGCUUAAAAAAAAAAAAAUUAAGAGGUGGGGCUCUAGCUCUGUGGUAGAGAACUUUCUUUGCAUGCAUUAGGCCUUGGGUUCAUUUCUCAGUACAGCAAAUAUUAAAAAUAAAAGUUUAUAUCAGACAGCAUCUCUUCCCAAUCUUCCCCAGUACACCAGGGAAAACAUUCGUUCUCCUUUACUUCUACAUUGUUGGUAGUCAUGUGGUGACUACAUUAAAUCAUUGGCAAUAAGUGUUAAGUCCCAAAGCCAGUCCAAAUACAUUAAGUCAGAAUGAGCUCCUUUAGGUCUGAAAUUGUUGGGACUACAGGUCUGACUGUACCUGACCUUUGUGUUAAUUAUUCAGAUGCUAUGUCACAUGAGGUUUUGGUUUUGGGGUUUUUUUGGUACCAGGGAUCAAACUUGGGUCCUUGCGCUUACAAGGCAGGCAGAACCACUGAGCUAAAUCACUGGCCCACACAUGAGGUUUUUACACAGGUUUUUAUGAGGUUUUGUUUCCUAAUCCCCACAAUUUUGACCUGUAAUAAUGGGCAACUAUCAUUUGCAAUGAUUCUGAUGGUAGCUUUUUUAUUAUUUUAUUUUUCCUGUGUUAGGGAUUGAAGCCAGGGCCUCCCUCAUGUUGGGCAGUUGCUGUAUCAAUGAGCCACUCCCCUGGCUCUGACACCAACCUUUAAGAGAAGGGUCAGGAGUGAGGAAAACCUCAUUUAAUGUGAAACCCCCAAUUAAUAUGAAACUGACCCAAAUAAUGACAGGUAUUGAGGUAACCUAGUUCAGCUGGGGCUGGAAAAGAGCAGAUCAGAUUUAAAGAGCACCUGCUGUAAGGUGAUGCUGCGCCUUCACCUUCAGCUUCCUGCUUCUGCACGUGUGCCUGCUAGGAGCCAAGGCCAGGGUCUGUUACUGACAUCCUGAGUUUACUGACCUGUGACGCCUGCCCACGAGAGAGUCCACAGCUCUGCCUCAAAGACGCAGUCUGGUCCAGGUCACAUCCCCUUCCAGGCACCAGCCAAAGGGGUCCUCAGGACAGGGGCUGUGCACCUCCCACAGGAUGGGAAAGACACCUGUGGCAGGGUGGGUGGAGGACUGAGGCUGCACAUUUGAUGGCUCAUUUGGGACAGGUUCUCUCCACAGGGAUAUUCUAGGGAAAUGGAUCAAAUUCCAGAGCAGAGCAAAUGUCUAUGACCAAUUCAGAAAAAUGAUUUCUUAGAGGUCACAUGAGAAAGCAGGUGGUUGUAACUGCAUACAUGUGGCACGUGCAGAGAUCACACAUGGUGAAAAGCACUCCUGGGUUUACCCUCAGGCACUUUGCUCUGAAGUGUGAGUCUCACCUUUCCUGUCUAGUCUGGCCU
ensembl:lncRNA